CAUCGCCCACCUCGAUCAUCCCUGCCAUGCGCUCCAUCAAGUCCGCCCUCUCCUCCGCCGGCCACCCUCAGAUCCGUGUAUCCACCCCCACUCCCUCGACAUCCUCUCCGCCUCCGAGCUCCCCUCCUCCGACCGCUUCCGCCGCAGCUACAACAAGGCGAUCUUCAUCCCGAUGCUUAGUUCCACCAGCAAACAAAAAACCCCUUCGUCGUCAACCCCUACCCUUACUUUAGCUACAACGACAUUUGAUCUUGAUAUUUUGGUCUGGUCUGCCCCGAUGCUCAGAUUCCCCUUAUUAUCAAUGUGUUUGAUCUUGAUUCAUGUCUAUGUUCUGCGCUUACUAUAACACAAAGUUUCAAAUUUCAAUGAAUGAUCUUGAUGAGGAAAAAAUGUAGGAUGUGCCAGUGGAAUUGGUGCAAAGACUGCCAGAGUAUUUGUACUUAGAGGAGCUUUUUUGUGAUGUUAUUAAUACUUGUUAAUUUAUUUUGACUAAAUUUAUAUAUUAUUCUGUUUUGUUGUUUAGAAAUAAUGCUGGAGUUAUAUUCUGCCCUUAUCAGCUAUCAGAAGAUGGUAUUGAGAUGCAGUUUGCUACAAAUCAUCUCAAUAUUUUACAUUACUCUCUUUUUUUUGUUAAUCUUGUUGAAUUUGGACUGUUUAUUUCUGAGUUAGAUGUAUAUGACUGACAUUAGACGGUUUGAUUUAUUUUGUUACAGGUCAUUUCUUCUUGACAAAGCUUCUCCUUGAGAAAAUGAAGGCAAAUCUACUACACGAGAAUGAACUAUCUAGACGCCUGAAGAUGGCAGAAAUGGAGAAGCAGAUUGAGAAAGUAAGCACACAAUUGGACAAGCUUCAAAGUAUUUUGGAUCUAUGUCAACAAUUUAUGUAUCGCUCUAGUAUUUUGGUGAAUGUAUUAUUUGAAUAUAAUUAAGUUUAAUUAUGGAAUAUAAUUAGGUUGUGUUGAA